GACAGUGUGGUGUAGUGGUCUGAGCGCUGGACUAUAACUCCUGAGAUCAGGGUUUGAUUCCUUGCUUGGUCA